CAUGCAGCUGCGCCUUUGAAGAAGCAAGUAGCUGUUCGGUUUAAAAUACAGAUUGCCUCUUCAAAAGCUUCUUCUUGUCUACGCACAAGGUACAUGUGAUUUUUCCACAGGGUAGAGAUAUACGAGGAGGAAAUUGCGUCUGGUGUGGUGGCUGCCGAGGUAUUUUUUUAAAAACCGUUAUGGAUUUUGGAAUUCAUGAACAACAAUUUAAACCAGUGUGGCUUUAGAGAAAGGUGUUUUCACAUUGUUCCUUGUAACCUGAAUCAAUAUGCUAGUUUGGGGACAUUUAACCAGAUGUUGACUUGAUGAUCUGUGACUGCACUGAGUGAGCAAUAGAACAAUUCCUUGCUGAUACUAAGCAAAAGAGAAAUUCCUCUGGAAGCAUCUGGCAAGUUGUGAGAAGGUUACAUAACAGAAAACUGCCUCAGGUCAUACAUACUGAAUUUCUAUUUCAUUACAUAAAAAGCAAAGGAUCAUCCUACACCGUGAUUUGCAGGUCCUUCUGGGCCAUUGUCCUUGUUUGGAAACAUUUAGGUCUCUCUUCUACUUCUUAUUUUUUUAAAGCAUGUUUGAGGGAGUCUGAGGUUUGCGUCUCAGAAAGUCAUGAGCACAAUAAAAAUGCUUUAUAGUUUUCAGCAGGCACUGGGCUACCUUCAGCCAUGAUCUGUUUUAAGCCACAGGAAAACAGCUCGGAAAGAGAUGAUGUGCCUCGUAAAAUAAUUUUAGGAGUCCUGAUUUUGCUGUAUCUCCUCCAGUUGACAUAGGUCUGUGCUUAACUCUGCCUCUGAAAUCCAAAUACAUUCGGAUUGCCAUAUGUCUGCAAUUUUCUGAACGUACCCGGAAUACCGCAGUCAGAUGCAGUGUCCGAGCGGAAAUCGGCAAAAUGUCCAAGAAAAUCUGAACAUAGGGCAACCUAUGUUGGCAAUGUAGUUUCUGCCGAUUUCCCUUAAGAAUACAGUGGUACCUCGGGUUACAUACGCUUCAGGUUACAUAUGCUUCAGGUUACAGACUCCGCUAACCCAGAAAUAGUGCUUCAGGUUAAGAACUUUGCUUCAGGAUAAGAACAGAAAUUGGGCUCCAGCAGCGCGGCGGCAGCAGGAGGCCCCAUUAGCUAAAGUGGUGCUUCAGGUUAAGAACAGUUUCAGGUUAAGAACGGACCUCCGGAACAAAUUAAGUACUUAACCCGAGGUACCACUGUAGCUCAAGAAGUCAGUUUUUUUUGUGAUUUUGCCAAAAAAAACUCAACAAAAAACCCUUUUCACUUUUGGAAAUAUGGCAACCCCAAAAUAUAUAGAUUUUUCUUAUUAGUCAUAGGCACGUGAUUUUUAUAAGGCUGAAAUACGCACACCACCAUUUUAAUAAGAAAUUACAUGCCCUGUUUGCUUAAGAUCUGGCUUAAUCUGCUUCUUCUUUAAGAACAGAACAACAAAAGGCUCAGAGCAUAUUGCAAAUACCGUACUUUAGCUUUGUUCUAUACACAAGCUCUCCAGUGGCAAAGUAGAGAGAAAAACUAAGCAACUAAGAAGAUGUGCUAACUAGGCUAUAAGGAAUUUUUCCUCUUCCAGUACCAUGUGGAUCUCAAGGGGCUCUGAGCAGAAACAGGCAAAACAAGACAAGCAUUAUGUUAGCAACAAGAACAACAAAAAUGAACUAAGCUUGGAAAAUUGUGUCCUCCCUAAAAGAGGGCACGUGUUGCAGUGAGACCUGGAGACUGACCUCCCAGUUGUGGGUGGGUUUAUUGGACAGUCACAACACCCGAUUGGUAGGUCCCUCGUUGCUGGGUUUAAUAUGGCCAAUGGGGUGCAGUCUAAACGGAUUGAGGGACCUAUAUAUACUUUUGCAUGUGACCCUCUUUUGGCUCGUGCAUCGGAACACCCGCCCACCUCUCCCUACUUUCAGGGCUUGUUGUGAUUGACCUUGCUAUGCUGUUGUGUGUUGUCUGUCGCUGAGACAGGGGCACAGCAGGAAUUUUCCCCACUUGGCUGAUUGGCUGUUGCCAUUUGGGUUUCGCCUGCCGCAUACCAAACCGUCACAACUUGUAAGGUUGCGGAUAGGCACUGGUUCAUGUGAUAGGGAUGGGAAAAUGGACUCACCUUCCCUAUGUGAAGGGUAUUCUGUUAAAGGAAUCCAGGGACUCGACCUAGUUUGGCCAACCCCUGAAAGGGGGUUGUGCCCAUGCCUGAAUCCAGGGGAGCAUCUGGGGAGUGAACAGAGUCUGUUCCUGGGCUUUUCACCUACCUCAGGUAUUCAUGCUUGGCUGACCUAUGCUGGUGCCCUGGGUCAGCGCUACCUGCAAAGGUGCAGGGAGCUAGUCGAACCAGAGCCUAUGCAACCACUCACUUUUCUGUAAUCAAUAAAGUUGUAGCCUAAAUUCUGCCAAAAACCAAAACUAAAAUUUGAGUCAAAUGUGUCUUUAUUUAGGGGGGAGGUCUCUGGGUCUGAACAUGCAAAAACAGAGAGAACUGAUUCAGGGGAAAACCAGCUUCCAGUAUUUUAAAAUAAGCUCUCUUGCUCUCUCUCUCUCUCUCUCUCUCUCUCUCUCUGAAGGAUCUCAGCUUAAAAGGUAUCAUUUUCAACAAGGGAUGGAAGAAUUCUUCUAUUUCCAAGUCGGUUUUCCACCCAGCCAGUCGGGGGGUUACAUUUCCUGUUCUUGUCUUGGUGUCGCUGCAGUCUUGACCACCCC